UAAAACUCCUUUGUUAGAAUUACCAUAUAAUUAAAAUUUUUACAAAAUUCAAUAAAAAAAACUCGAAAAAAGAGAGCUCACCGAAACCCUAAACUCGCGAUAGACAUCUCCACUGCCAUCUUUGUUGUCGCCACUGCCGCCAUUGUUGUUAUCACCGCUGCUAGAGUUCAUCUCCUUUCUACUUCUGCCUUAAUGCUACUGAGAUCAAGGCAAAACGCUUCUUUCAUCAACGUAUUUCCAGAUCUAAUUGCAACACCCAAACCUUUGAGAUCUAGAGAAAGUGUCUCUUCGGUCAACUCUCCUCCGCCAAUGAUGCUCGUGUUUUUCAUCGGCAUUCUAUCCCUUCUGUAUGCUCUUCUUUCCACUCAUUCUCAAUUUCUGGUUCUCC
rnacentral:lncRNA from 1 species